rnacentral:rRNA from 1 species
CACUCCUACGGGAGGCAGCAGUGGGGAAUUUUGGACAAUGGGCGAAAGCCUGAUCCAGCAAUGCCGCGUGAGUGAAGAAGGCCUUCGGGUUGUAAAGCUCUUUUGUCAGGGAAGAAACGGUGAGAGCUAAUAUCUUUUGCUAAUGACGGUACCUGAAGAAUAAGCACCGGCUAACUACGUGCCAGCAGCCGCGGUAAUACGUAGGGUGCAAGCGUUAAUCGGAAUUACUGGGCGUAAAGCGUGCGCAGGCGGUUUUGUAAGUCUGAUGUGAAAUCCCCGGGCUCAACCUGGGAAUUGCAUUGGAGACUGCAAGGCUAGAAUCUGGCAGAGGGGGGUAGAAUUCCACGUGUAGCAGUGAAAUGCGUAGAUAUGUGGAGGAACACCGAUGGCGAAGGCAGCCCCCUGGGUCAAGAUUGACGCUCAUGCACGAAAGCGUGGGGAGCAAACAGGGUUAGAAACCCGAGUAGUCCCAUGA